GCGGGUGUGGCGGAAUUGGUAGACGCGCCAGAUUUAGGUUCUGGUAUCGAGAGAUGUGGAAGUUCGAGUCUUCUCACCCGUACCA
rnacentral:tRNA from 2 species